UCCUGUAAAUACGGCGGUGAAGUUAGUUUCAGGUUGGAUAUAUUUUCCUGUAAAUACGGCGGUGAAGUUAGUUUCAGGUUGGAUAUAUUUUCCUGUAAAUACGGCAGUGAAGUUAGUUUUAGGUUGGAUAUAUUCUCCUGUAAAUACGGCGGUGAAGUUAGUUUCAGGUUGGAUAUAUUUUCCUGUAAAUACGGCGGUGAAGUUAGUUUCAGGUUGGAGAUAUUUUCCUGUAAAUACGGCGGUGAAGUUAGUUUUAGGUUGGAUAUAUUUUCCUGUAAAUACGGCGGUGAAGUUAGUUUCAGGUUGGAUAUAUUUUCCUGAAAAUACGGCGGUGAAGUUAGUUUCAGGUUGGAUAUAUUUUCCUGUAAAUACAGCGGUGAAGUUAGUUUUAGGUUGGAUAUUUUUUCCUGUAAAUACGGCGGUGAAGUUAGUUUCAGGUUGGAUAUAUUUUCCUGUAAAUACGGC
rnacentral:lncRNA from 1 species